UACGUAGGGUGCAAGCGUUGUCCGGAAUUAUUGGGCGUAAAGAGCUUGUAGGCGGCUUGUCGCGUCGACUGUGAAAAACCCGUGGCUCAACCAUGUGGUCUGCAGUCGAUACGGGCAGGCUAGAAUUCGGUAGGGGAGACUGGAAUUCCCGGUGUAGCGGUGAAAUGCGCAGAUAUCAGGAGGAACACCGGUGGCGAAGGCGGGUCUCUGGGCCGAUAUUGACGCUGAGGAGCGAAAGCGUGGGGAGCGAACAGG
rnacentral:rRNA from 1 species